GACGAACGCUGGCGGCGGGCUUAACACAUGCAAGUCGAGCGGAAAGGCCCUGCUUUUGUGUGGUGCCCGAGGGGCGAACGGGUGAGUAACACGGGAGUAACCUGCCCUUGACUGGGGGAUAACUGCAGGAAAGUGCGGCUACUACCGGAGAGGAGCGCCUGCAGCUGGGGGGGGUUUGGAAAUUUUCGGCUGUGAGGGCUGGACUCGCGGCUUAUCAGCUGGUUGGUGGGGUAGUGGCUUACCAAGGCUUCGACUGGUAGGCGGCAUGAGAGGGUGAACGGCGACAUUGGGCCUGAGAUACGGCGCAGACUCGUACGGGAGGCAGCAGUCGGAAAUCUUGCCCAAUGGGCGGACGUCUGAUGCAGAAACGCCGCGUGCGGGAUGACGGCCUUCGGGUUGUAAACCGCUUUCGCCUGUGACGAAGCGUGAGUGACGGUACCGGGUAAAGAAGCACCGGCUAACUACGUG
rnacentral:rRNA from 1 species